UACCUAUGGCCCGAGUAGUGACCACUUUUAUUGAGUCUAAAGCGUUCGUAGCUGGCUUGAGAAGUCUAUAUUUAAAUCAUUCAGCUUAACUGGAUGACACGGUAUAGAUACUCUCAGGCUAGAGAUCGGAAGAGGGAUUGGGAACUUUUUGGGUAGGAGUAAAAUCCUUUAAUCCAAAAAAGACCACCAGUGGCGAAGGCGCAAUCCCAGGACGAAUCUGACAGUGAGGGACGAAGGCUAGGAGAACAAACCGG
rnacentral:rRNA from 1 species